CCUACGGGUGGCUGCAGUGGGGAAUAUUGGACAAUGGGCGAAAGCCUGAUCCAGCCAUGCCGCGUGUGUGAAGAAGGCCUUCGGGUUGUAAAGCACUUUCAGUGGGGAAGAAAGCCUUGGGGCUAAUACCCUCGAGGAAGGACAUCACCCACAGAAGAAGCACCGGCUAACUCCGUGCCAGCAGCCACGGUAAUACGGAGGGUGCGAGCGUUAAUCGGAAUUACUGGGCGUAAAGCGCGCGUAGGCGGUCUGAUAAGCCGGUUGUGAAAGCCCCGGGCUCAACCUGGGAACGGCAUCCGGAACUGUCAGGCUAGAGUGCAGGAGAGGAAGGUAGAAUUCCCGGUGUAGCGGUGAAAUGCGUAGAGAUCGGGAGGAAUACCAGUGGCGAAGGCGGCCUUCUGGACUGACACUGACGCUGAGGUGCGAAAGCGUGGGUAGCAAACAGGAUUAGAUACCCUAGUAGUC
rnacentral:rRNA from 1 species